GCCGGGCGUGGUGGCUCACGCCUGUAAUCCCAACAAUUUGGGAGGCCGAGGUGGGUGGAUCACCUGAGGUCAGGAGUUGGAGACCAGCCUGACCUACAUGGUGAAAUCCCAUCCCUA
ensembl:misc_RNA Metazoa_SRP Metazoan signal recognition particle RNA